rnacentral:rRNA from 1 species
CUACGGGUGGCAGCAGUGAGGAAUAUUGCACAAUGGGGGGAACCCUGAUGCAGCAACGCCGCGUGGAGGAUGACGCAUUUCGGUGUGUAAACUCCUUUUAUAUGUCAAGAAAAUGACGGUUGCAUAUGAAUAAGCACCGGCUAACUCCGUGCCAGCAGCCGCGGUAAAACGGAGGGGGCAAGCGUUACUCGGAAUCACUGGGCGUAAAGGACGCGUAGGCGGGUUGGAAAGUCAGGUGUGAAAUCCUACAGCUUAACUGUAGAACUGCACUUGAAACUUCUAAUCUAGAGUAUGGGAGGGGGAGAUGGAAUUAGUGGUGUAGGGGUAAAAUCCGUAGAUAUCACUAGGAAUACCUAAAGCGAAGGCGAUCUCCUGGAACAUUACUGACGCUAAGGCGUGAAAGCGUGGGGAGCAAACAGGAUUAGAUACCCCCGUAGUC